rnacentral:snRNA from 1 species
GCGCUAGCUUUGGCAGCACAUAUACUAAAAUUG